rnacentral:rRNA from 1 species
UACGAAGGGGGCUAGCGUUGUUCGGAUUUACUGGGCGUAAAGCGUCCGCAGGUGGCACUUCAAGUCUGUCGUCAAAGACUGGGGCUUAACCCUGGAAAGGCGGUGGAAACUGAAGCGCUAGAGUGCGGUAGGGGUAGAGGGAAUUCCCGGUGUAGCGGUGAAAUGCGUAGAGAUCGGGAAGAACAUCGGUGGCGAAAGCGCUCUACUGGACCGCAACUGACACUCAGGGACGAAAGCUAGGGGAGCGAAUGGG